ensembl:misc_RNA Y_RNA Y RNA
GGCUGGUCCAAAUGCAGUAGCAUUUGCAACUAAUUGAUCACAACCAGUUACAGUUUUCUUUGUUCCUUCUCCAGUCCCAUUGCUGGAGAAAAUUUAACUAACCUAAA